UGUGAUUGCAUCACUGCGCUUGAGCCUGGGCAACAAAGUGACACCCUGCCUCAAAAACAAACAACAAACAGAAAACGGGUACAGAGUACCCUGUUUCCAGAAGGUUUCUGCCUUUGCACUGCACUGUCUGCUCUUGAUGAACCUGAUCAAGUCACAGCGAAGUGAGCUAGUUUUUCUUAAGUCAUUUGAGAUAUUUUGACCAUGAGAAAGACAUAUGCAGGCAAAUUAUAAAGACAGGAUGGAAGUUUGACUGGAAGCCAGGUGACAGACAAAAUCAGACCACUCUUAGGCACCUAGAUUGGAGAUAUCUUAUCUGUGAACACUCACAGCGUGCCAAAUAGGGCUUCCUAGGUCUAGAAGAUGAGGCAACCACUGAGUGAGCUCAUAGCCUUCAGUCUUUGGAUAAUCCUUAGGCUCCUGGUUUUGCAGACUGGCACUAUUGCCUAUACAAAGUUUUCCUACCAUGCGGGGAGCUUUCCUAGCUCUUCCUCCUUCCACCUGAGAAAACAUCAGGGCCUUGACCAAAGGGAAGAAUGGGGCAUUAUUGCUCUUCCCCUGAGGAGGCACACCACCAGCUGAGACCCUGCGACAUGCUUGGCAGUGCUGUGAGAGCAGAUUUUUCCUGUUAAUUGUCAUCUGGUUUCUGGAACGGCAUGUCCCCAUGUCGGAUGGAUUAGGCAGCACCCAGGGUGGUGCCUCCCCUCAGCUGUCCUCAGAGCUUCUCCCAGCCCCUGCUCCCCUCUCCCAGGCUGAGCCUCCUUUCUUGGCCCUGGUUGGGCCAGGAGAACGUGUCCGCAUAGGUGGAAGUGAAAUAUCCUCUAUUGUAAAGUCAGGUAACUUAAAGAAGCUAGACUGGAGUUAUCAGCAAGAUGAGAUGGUGUAUCUAAGUCUCGCCUUGUUUAGAAUUAAGCCUGAAUCUCUUUGAUCUUCAUGAAGUCAGAUUAUGUUUAGGUCUCACUUUACAAUAAAUAAGCGCAAAGCAAAAAUAAAAUUCUAAGCCCUCCAACCAUCUGAACACAUCCCUCUUCUCAACAAGGGCAUCUCAAAGUUAACCUGAAAAACUAGUUCAGGCUGUGAUGGGGAGGAAGGAGCCAUACAUGCCGCCUUAUACUCUCCUUCCUUUUGGAAUUUUGAUAGAAUAGACUCUUGAAGUCUGACGAGAAACAUUUGCAAUCUAUUCUCUCUGAAGCCUGCUACCUGGAGGCUUGAUCUGCAUCAUAAAACCUUGGUCUCCACAACCUCUUAUUGAACCUUCCUAUUGAAAAUAACUUUCAGCCAACUGCCAAUCAGAAAAUCUUUGAACGUGCCAAUGACUUGGAAGCCCCUGCUUCCAGUUGUCCUGCCUUUCUGGACCAACCCAAC